rnacentral:rRNA from 1 species
GAAUGAACGCUGGCGGCAUGCCUUACACAUGCAAGUCGAACGGCAGCAUGACCUAGCUUGCUAGGUUGAUGGCGAGUGGCGAACGGGUGAGUAAUGCAUCGGAACGUGCCUUUUAGUGGGGGAUAACGUAGCGAAAGUUACGCUAAUACCGCAUAUUCUCUGAGGAGGAAAGCAGGGGACCUUCGGGCCUUGCGCUAGAAGAGCGGCCGAUGUCGGAUUAGCUAGUUGGUGAGGUAARGGCUCACCAAGGCAACGAUCCGUAGCGGGUCUGAGAGGAUGAUCCGCCACACUGGGACUGAGACACGGCCCAGACUCCUACGGGAGGCAGCAGUGGGGAAUUUUGGACAAUGGGCGCAAGCCUGAUCCAGCCAUGCCGCGUGAGUGAAGAAGGCCUUCGGGUUGUAAAGCUCUUUCGGCUGGGAAGAAAUCGCACUCUCUAAUACAGGGUGUGGAUGACGGUACCAGCAUAAGAAGCACCGGCUAACUAC